rnacentral:lncRNA from 1 species
CUGAUAAACAACAAAGGAAAACAUAUAUGCUGUUUCCUUAUAUCUGUGCCCGGGGCCACUUUCAAGAGACUACUCCCAGCAAAACACAUCCUUGCCCUAUGAUCAGAAAAGGGUCAGCAGAGCCUGAGAUCUCAGGAAUCCUCACCUUCAGCCAGGAGAGAAACAAGCAGGAGCCCAAAGGCAAAACUCCCGAUAAAGAGACCAGGCAGAUACACUCAAAACUCAGAUUCAUAGUCCGUUCAACAGGGAUCUGAUUUCCAAACUCCAAUCUAGCUCUCGGUGUGGGUGACUCACACAAUCCCAAGUAACGGAGAUUAUGGUGAACAGUGAAGCUGGAAGGAACCCAGAGGACGUGGAUGGCACAGCCACGCAGGCACCCGCAUCGGAUCUGGCCUGCUUUCCCCGGGUCUUUUUUUUUUUUUUUUUAAGAUUUUAUUAUUUAUUUAUGAGAGACACACACAGACAGGGGGGCAGAGACACGGGCAGAGGGAGAAGCAGGCUGCACGCAGGGAGCCCCGUGGAGAACUGGAACCCGGGAGUCCGGGAUCACGCCCUGGGCCAGGCGUCCCUCCCCCCUUCCCCGGGUCCUCUAGACCCGCCUCCCUGCCGUGCUGUUCGCGUUUCUCGGGACAUCAUCAAGUGGCACCAACAAGUCCCUAUCACACACCUGGCUGUGCGGUGCUGCUCGCUCACUGGGGAGCAGUGUCCCCUCCCGCGGGGAAGGCGGCUCAGGCACCGGCCCCAGGGGCACAGCUGCGGAGAUGGAGGCAGAGCCAGGAGGCUCGCUCGGGGAACCCGGCAGGGGUGGGGGUGGGGUGGGAGGGGAGGACCUGAUGAGAGGAGUUGGGGGCUGGGAUGGGGCGGGGCGGGGGGAGUCUGUCCCCAAAGCCCUCCCCUCCCGCGCUCUGGCCUCAGCCCAGCAGCCCGGACUUGCAGGCUGCGAUGGCAAACUGGGGAGUCAGCCUGUGUGAUAUUAUACAGGAAAAUGGCUCUUCACCACUGCACACAAGCAUGCCAAGGGGCAGGCUAUCUAGGAGAUGCCCCCUAAAGAUGACCAAAGGGAUGAGUGAAGAACAGUCUGGGAGAAAAGAAGAAGCGGUGGACUUCUCACAUAGCAGAAUUCCUCCCAGAAUCAAGAGUUGACUGAGUCAACAAAAAUACACAUUUGACUUUUUGCUUAGCUAAUUGUUGGGGAAUUUUUUCGAGAAAAACAUUGUUGGAAAUUACUGGAAAAUGUUAUUGGAAAGGUUAGGAGCCUAAAAAGCCUUUAGAUACCGGAACUGCUGGGAUCCCAAGGCCUUCUGAAGACAGAGAGGGUGGUCUUGGACUUGGCCCUGCCCGCUCAUGGGCUCAGAAUGGACAUGGCUACUGAUUAUUUUAUGUUUAGAAUUAAUUGAGGGCAGCCCCAGUGGCCCAGAGGUUUAGCACCACCUUCGGCCUGGGGUGUGAUCCUGGAGACCUGGGAUCAAGUCCCAAGUCUGGCUCCCUGCAUGGGGCCUGCUUCUCCCUCUGCCUGUGUCUCUGCCUCUCUCUCUGUGUCUGUCAUGAAUAAAUAAAAGUAAAAUAAAAUAAAAAUAUGUUUUUAAAAAAGAAGAAUUAAUUGAUUGCAGUAUGCUCGGCUUAAAAAGUUGUCAUGAACCUGGGGCGGGAGUAGAAGGCGUGUUGUUGUCCAUGUCCUGA